GGAUGUGUGGAAGCUAGUAGAAACGGGCGGCUCUUUUGUUUGCUAAACCGCCGUACGGGGUAACCCGUACCGAGGGUUCGAAUCCCUCCGUCUCCGCCA
rnacentral:tRNA from 1 species